ACAAGAUUUCCUUUAUCCCAGAGGAUUACAGAAUGAGGGGAAACUGCCUAGAGCAAAAGUGAAUUUCAAUGCAGGUGGCCGUGAAAGAAGACAAAGGAAGUAGCUCUGAGGACCGAGAAGAGUAUAUGAAAGUGUUGAGCAGAAAAAGAGAGGAGCCUGUGAACACCACAAGCAAACCCAUUCCAAGAUUGAUUCUCUGAGGUCAAACAACUGGAAAACAUUUCUCAGCGGUGCGACAUUUCUUGAUGUGUGUUAAUCCAAGAGGUGUGGAGACACGUGGCUGACUUUGGAAGCUGAUUUGUCCGGAUUUAUGAAGAAGCGGUUCAGCUUGUAUGCUGGGCUCUGAUGAAGGGAGGUCC